GACGAACGCUGGCGGCGUGCUUAACACAUGCAAGUCGAACGGUAAGGCCCUUCGGGGUACACGAGUGGCGAACGGGUGAGUAACACGUGGGUGAUCUGCCCUGCACUUUGGGAUAAGCCUGGGAAACUGGGUCUAAUACCGGAUAGGACCAUGCGCCUCACGGUUUGUGGUGGAAAGCCUUUGCGGUGUGGGAUGGGCCCGCGGCCUAUCAGCUUGUUGGUGGGGUAAUGGCCUACCAAGGCGACGACGGGUAGCCGGCCUGAGAGGGUGACCGGCCACACUGGGACUGAGAUACGGCCCAGACUCCUACGGGAGGCAGCAGUGGGGAAUAUCGCACAAUGGGCGCAAGCCUGAUGCAGCGACGCCGCGUGAGGGAUGACGGCCUUCGGGUUGUAAACCUCUUUCAGUAGGGACGAAGCGCAAGUGACGGUACCUACAGAAGAAGGACCGGCCAACUACGUGCCAGCCGCCGCGGUAA
rnacentral:rRNA from 1 species